CUCCCCCCCUCGCCCCGCGCGCCGCGCCCCAGCCGCCUGCACCGCGGACCCCAAGGCCCGGCACGUCCCGCCCGCCGAGCCCCCGCCCCGCGCGUCCCGGGCUCUCCGAAGUUACCUCCGAGGCCCCGCGGGGCUCCCGUGCUCUCCGGCGCCGCUGCGCUCGGCCUCCCACGCCGCGCCUCGGGAUGGAUCCGAGCCCCGCGCGGCUCCGGGGCAGCCCGAGGCCUGGCAUUCAGGAUCCUGGGAUGCAUGCCGGAGAGUCUGCAAACAACCUGAGCUCCUAGGCCUGGUCUCUGGAUACGCUGCUGAAGGAGAGGCAAGAGGAAGAAAGCAGGAGGGAAAAGGAGCCUUGUCCGUGCUUUGAGUUCUGUAAUUUCAUGGUAAGGGGCAGGAGAGGAACCAGGUGAGUAGGGAAGGCAGUAAGUCCUGGGCAUGGCUAUUUGGGGGACACGGUUCAUCCAAAUUCCCAGCCAUCCUGCACUGUCCAAAUGGGACAAUAAGUCAUGCCCUUUGCUGCAGAAAAACCAUGACUCCUCUUUGAGACCGUAACUACACAGCAGUGCUUAUCUGAUUCAUAGAUGGCGCUGCUGAUGUUAGAAGUUGAAGCACGAGUCCCCAGCAGAAGUGACUAGACCUUCCUAUUUCUCUCAACAGCUCUCCAGUGACUCAGGAAGCAAGCAGAAGAGAUUCUGUGGAGCCUGAAAUACUGCCUGGAACGUAGUGGGGGCUCAGUAAAUGUGCGGCAAGCAACUUGAAUGUUCUUGCAAACAUUGCAUCACAUGAAUCUCUUCUAAGUGCAAGGCUGGGCACGUAGUAGGCGCUCGCCACAUCUGCAGAGUCAUCUCUGUGUUUCCCCACAAUUCAUCCCAGGGAGCUCCCAGACCAAGCUGACGUUAGCUUCCCAACAUCCUCAUGGUGCCAGGGAGCGUGGAUUUGGGUUAUCAUGUGUUUUCUCACUGUCGGGAGAACCAAGCCUCAGCCCCGUAAAGGAAAUGACCUCAUGGAGGCCAUUCAGAAAGUGGGCAUUCGCUCAUGCUGAUCUAACACUUCCCCCUGGCACUGAACUCCGAACAGAAGGUGGGUCUCAGGUCAGCGUGCCUAAGUGAUACCCCUGACAAGGAAGAGUUCAGUGAAGCUCAGUGGGGAAGAGUAUUUACAAAAAAAAAAAAAAAAUCCACGGAUGUUGCCUGGAGAUUGCCAGUGCCAUGGGGGCUAUUUGAUGACCAGAGAGAGGCUGGCCUCUCAUUGGGAGACCUCAGUAUUUCCCUGGUAUCAUCUGGAUCCCUGAGAUAAACAAAAAUAUUUUUAGGGUUUGCAAAUGGGAAUGCUCGCAGGUUUCCACUGAAAUAACCCUCUCCUUUAUCAUGUCAGGGACGUUGGUCUAUGGGACAACCUGCAUCAUCCAGAAUUAUCUACUAGCUAAGCAGGAGACAGAUUCAUUAGCACUGGAUAUUCGUUAGCACAGGGAAGAAUGCAUUUGUUUAUUCCAUGCAAAUGCCAAGCACCACAAUGCACCAGGCCCUGUUAGCUGCCCCCAAAAGCAGAGCCGUCGCCAAGCACUAAUACGCAGAAAACUUAGUACAUGCCAGACGUCUGCAGUGAGACUUACUUUGCUUAAGCCUUACAAAAAUCCUAUAAGGCAGGUAAUGCUGCAAUUCCCACAUUACAGACCAGAAAUCUGCGAACAGAGAGGUUUAGUUACUUCUCUACAACCAUGUAGCUAGUAAGAGCCAGAGCGGGGAGCUGACCCCAGGCGGCCUGGCUCUAGAACCUAGGGCAUGCAUCUUUACACUAUGGAGAUGAUGGCACUUGCUCCAAAAGUCUCAGUGUCCAUGGGAAGAUGGUGCCCAGAAAGUCCUUAUAGCUCAGGAGGCCAGGCCAUGCAAGGGUCACAGUUAAAUAAAUUGCUGUUUCUGCUUAAAUAAAUUGCUUAU
rnacentral:lncRNA from 1 species